rnacentral:rRNA from 1 species
UGGGGAAUAUUGGACAAUGGGCGAAAGCCUGAUCCAGCCAUGCCGCGUGUGUGAAGAAGGUCUUCGGAUUGUAAAGCACUUUAAGUUGGGAGGAAGGGCAUUAACCUAAUACGUUAGUGUUUUGACGUUACCGACAGAAUAAGCACCGGCGAACUCUGUGCCAGCAGCCGCGGUAAUACAGAGGGUGCAAGCGGUAAGCGGAAUUACUGGGCGUAAAGCGCGCGUAGGUGGUUUGUUAAGUUGGAUGUGAAAUCCCCGGGCUCAACCUGGGAACUGCAUUCAAAACUGACUGACUAGAGUAUGGUAGAGGGUGGUGGAAUUUCCUGUGUAGCGGUGAAAUGCGUAGAUAUAGGAAGGAACACCAGUGGCGAAGGCGACCACCUGGACUAAUACUGACACUGAGGUGCGAAAGCGUGGGGAGCAAACA